GUUGACUCAUAACUGUAGGGUACAAGGUAUGGGGUAAGGUGUCUGGUGCAUGUUACUAGGUUGACUCACAGCUGUAGGGUACAGGGCAUGGGGUACGGUGUCCAGUGUAUGUCACUAGGUUGACUCAUAACUGUAGGGUACAGGGCAUGGAGUACGGUGUCCAAUGUAUGUCACUAGGUUGACUCAUAACUGUAGGGUACAGGGCAUGGAGUACGGUGUCCAAUGUAUGUCACUAGGUUGACUCAUAACUGUAGGGUACAGGGCAUGGAGUACGGCAUCCGGUGCAUGUCACUAGAUUGACUCAACUGUAGGGUACAGGGUAUGGGGUAAGGUGUCUGGUGCAUGUCACUAGGUUGACUCACAGCUGUAGGGUACAGGGCAUGGGGUAAGGUGUCUGGUGCAUGUCACUAGGUUGACUCACAGCUGUAGGGUACAGGGUAUGGGGUAUGGUGUCCGGUGCAUGUCACUAGGUUGACUCACAGCUGUAGGGUACAGGGCAUGGGGUACGGUGUCUGGUGCAUGUCACUAGGUUGACUCAUAACUGUAGGGUACAGGGCAUGGAGUACGGCAUCCGGUGCAUGUCACUAGAUUGACUCAACUGUAGGGUACAGGGUAUGGGGUAAGGUGUCUGGUGCAUGUCACUAGGUUGACUCACAGCUGUAGGGUACAGGGCAUGGGGUACAGUGUCCGGUGCAUGUCACUAGGUUGACUCACAGCUAUAGGGUACAGGGCAUGGGGUAUGGUGUCCAGUGUAUGUCACUAG
rnacentral:lncRNA from 1 species